CUAAGGAUAUGGUACUUUGAUACCAACGGAAUACACAAUCGUUAAAACUUUGUUUAGUUUUGAGGGGUCUACCCUCAAACUCGUACCUUGAAAACCGGAUAUUAAGAAUUAAUGAAUUAAAGAAACACCGAAAACUGCGCGGCAACUUUUUAGUUGCCAGCUGUAACUUAUGUUAUGGCAAAUGAUUUAAAUUGCUUUUGUAAUUUAUUAGGUUAAGUUAUAAAGGGCGC
rnacentral:misc_RNA from 1 species